rnacentral:lncRNA from 1 species
UUUAAUAGGGGUCGGCUUAGGUAGGUUUUACAUGAAUGUCCCUCUCAAUUAGGACUCUCCUAGCUAGUGUCCUAACAGUUUAGCACCGUUACAAAUGCUUCAAUUUGGAGUGGAUACUUUUGUCAAGUUGUGUAAUAAUUUGGAAACUUUUGUGUCUUCACAUUGAUUGUCUAAAUGGAUAAGAGGGGGUGGGCAUUGCUGUAGAUAAUGCAUGCGAGUGGACGAUCGUAAUGUGUUGCUUGUGAACGUGGAUGCUUGGUCGUGGGUUUCUGUUGUGUUAUAAUUUGAGAUUUUCGUUGGUUGCAUUUAUGUUUGUUUUGACAUAAUUUUUAGGUUUAUUGCUUGACACUGCCAUUGCAUGUUUCAAGCUUGGAUGAGAAAACGUGGAGGGGGCAAUAGCUUAUCGGUACCUCUCUGUUGUAAACAAUCCAAAUGAUCUGCGAGUAUCACUACAUGAGUGCAUUGCUCAACCUGCCCAUAGGAGCAACUUGUAUGACUCUCAUGUUUGGUUUUAGAAAUUCGAACUCUAGGGAUAAUAUUUCUCUUUGAGGUUUCUGUGUAGUGUACAUUGUAUGUAUAAUAUCUUUUCAAAAUGGAAUGUUUUUUAAAAUUAGAAUUUUUUCUAGGGUAAUAUUUCUAUAGAUGUAUUAGAACUUCCAGCAAGUCUGAGAUUUUUUUUUUUGGAUAAUAAUAGAUGUUUUUGAGUGUCAUUCAAAAGUGAAGUGUCUUCUAUAAAAGUUAAUCAUAAAAACUUCUAACAUCACUAACACUAGUGGGUUUUGGUCACUUUUUAAUUAUUUUCAUGUUUUCUUGAUUAACAUGUAUUUUUUAUUGUUAAUAACAUAUCCAAGAAAAGUAAAUUUAUUAGUGCAAAAAGUAUAUUUUUUAAGAUUUACAUAUAAUUUUUUUUCUAAGUAUAUAAUUUUUUUUAAAUAUAUUACAUGUUCAUUUAAACUUUUACUAUACAUAAGUAUAUCAUCAAAAUAAAUCAAUAUAAAUUUUCUAAUGUAAUUUUGAAAAAUAUGGUUCAUCAUGUUUAGUUUUUCAUUUGUCUCGCUCACGCAUUCUUAGUAGAUGGUAUCUAGAUUUUAAAUUAUUUUUUGAAAAUAUAUAGGAAUCGUGUAAUUAAUCCAAUAUGUUAUCUUGCCAAUGAGUAAGAUGU